AAAGAGUAGAGAAGGCCCUACAAGUUUUGCUUGCACACAACUUGGAUGCAAGUGAGCAAAAAGUACGGCAGGUGUCGGCCAUCUUUUUUUUUGUUCGGGCAUGAUUUUUGUGCUAUGCGCAUAGCAUAGCCAUCGGCGCCUAAGGGUUUGAAGCGGUUGAAAUAUUUCGCAUAAAUUUUCAUGAAAUUUUUCACAUUUGAAAAAAAAUCAUCAUUAUGGCGUUUAAAUCGUAUUCGGUUGCAGACUUUCCCAAUGUGUUGAUGCUUUUGUCUUUCCUACUGAGAGUUAGAUAUUAGAGAAAAUAACUGAAAAUAGAUAGGAAUAUCUUUUUCUUCGCUUAAGCGGUAUUUAUUUAUUAUGUUUAAAAACGAACGUUCGGGUACGGGCCCGGAUAAUCGCGCCAACUGAAUUGGUUGAUCUGUGAUACCACUGUGCGAAUUGACAGCAUAGCACCAUUGUUGUUUAUAAAAUCGUUUGCUGUGUAAACAUUGCAAAUUAUCAAAUUCAGAAGCGCUUUAUACAUUAUAAACUAAGUUAUAUAAUGCCCUAUUUGAUUGCAUCUGGUAAAAUAUUCCUCGUUUACUUGCAGAUAAUUACGUACUCCCAAAUUAAACACCCGAUCGUCAAUUUAUUAUAAAAGUUGAGGCUGAUCAUCUAAAUCAAGUUUGUUCAGAACUGAAGCGGUUGAACUAAUCCCGAAAAUGACUGUAUCAAUGUAUCAAUGUAAUCACAAUUCGUGAUACCUUCAUUCAACUUUAUGGUGACAAAUAGUCAUUCCUCUUAAUAAUCGCAUAAAAACGCUUGCGGCUACAACAUUUUCUACAACAAACCUUACACGCCACACAAAGAUGUAGGUGUGAAUAUACAUUGCUGUGUGACAAGUGGUUUUUUUUUUAACUUGGACGAUUGUAUUGGUAAAGCAAAACUCUUUUCAAAAAAACAUGGAAACAGGCCAAACACGAAAAUAUUUAUACAUGGUCCAUAAUGCAAACUGGAUGGGUGGAUACUUACGAAUCAAAUUGGUCAUAAAGGCUAUAUAUAACAAAUAGCGCUAUAUGAA